CGGGGUUCCCACGAUGCUGGGCCAGCUGAUGGGGUCCCCCUGGGAUGGAGAUUCUCUUGCCAACAAGUCAAGUUCGGCGAUGACAGAGUGGGCGACAGUCCGCCUCUCUGUUGCUGCCCCACGACGUCCCCUCUGGGGCUAGAACGGAUCUUGGAGAAUGUCCAGGAGUCACAGCCUGGCUAUAGAGCAGGUCACAAAAUUGCAUCCAAAGAACUGGAUUUUUUCCUUUGCCCUUGAUGCCGCCGUGGGUCGGCCCUGCCUUUCCCUGCAGACCCCCGGGGAGGAGCACAGGAGGAGCGGAGACUGCUGCGAAGGAGUCAGGCCUGAGGGCAGCAGAGGGGGACCUGUUCACGUGUUCACGAGUCAGAUGAAAGAAUUGCUAAAUUGUUGUCCCGGGUGGAGCAACUGGGAGCUGGAGGAAAGGAGAAGAAUCCCAGGAAGCGGUGGAGGAGUGGGCUGCCUGAUUCCAGCAACCACGGCAAGGAGACCUGAGUGCAGGAUCUUGGUUGGCUGAAGUAAGGUCCUGCAUGAGGAGCCAACACCCUAUUAUUCCUCCAUUACAAUCCUACCUAGAGAUGCUCAUCUUUGAAGGCAGCUCUCACAGGCAACAUAUCCUUGCAAUCGUGGAUCGUGGACUGUGGACCGUGGACCUGAGACUGUCCUUUGUGUCUCGCUGUUCCCUGACAAUAAUGGGCAGGGAGCCAGGUGAGUGCGGGGUGGGCCCAAGUAAAAAGAGCAGAAAGGGAGGAGCCUGUGGGAACCUGCUUGGGCGCCACCGGGGAAGAACAGCAAGUUCCCUUCAGAGGGACAGUCGCGUCCUCCGUAAACCAGCGCGGACUUCCCCAGCGUUUAUGGAGCCCUGGUAUGUGUCCCACGCAGCCCCCUCUCUUCUCCGGGUGUGCAGGCCUUUCUACAAGCCUGGGAAGUAGCCCUUACCCCCUCAUUAAAGAGCAGGUGAGCUGCAGAACGCUUCGGAUGGAGGGGGGAUGAUGAGUCACAACAAUUUCCCCCUCUCGACACUCUACAGUCGAAGGCCAAGUUCUAGCAAGCGGCAUUCCCACGAGGCCCAGGACCGGACAGAAACAGUCCCCGAUGUCGAUGUCGACUCGAGCAGGAGCAGGAGGGGGGGUGGUGGGGGAGGAGGAGCUGGGCAGGGGGCCCCAUCCGGGGCUCCAUCCCAGAGCCGUGGCGUCAUGACCUCAGCAGAAGGAAGGCCGAGGCUUAAUUGAGUCACCCAGGCGCCCCUACCAUUAGUUUUGAUAAAGCCCUGGGCUGCUGGCAGAGUAUGGCAAAGGUGCCCAAGCCCUGCUGGGCAUUGGAAUGCCCUGGGAAUUUCUCGACGCCACCUUGAGACAUUUUGCUCUAACUGCUGUCAGGUGUAACCUGGGUUUGAGAUUAGUGAAAGCUCCCCCGGUGGUUCUAAUAUGGAGCAAAACUUGGGAACUCUUGGGACACCGACAUGGGGUGCAGGGGACGAGGGUUUGGUGAAAGACGGUGGCAUAAAGCAUUGAGAAACAGAAGACGUUUUGUUGCCACCAUCUCCUGGUCAUUUGAUAUAGAAAUGGGGAAAAUUGACUUGAUUUUAUUACUUCUUGCCCUGAAAUGAUUUCUCUUUCGGGAGAGACAGCUACGUAGUCUCCUCUGUACACAUCGGUGUCUUUCUAACUGGUAAGAAGAAAAUGAUUUUGGGGUGGAAAAUACUGGAAAAGGCUUCAAAGAAUGGGUCUCUUUCUAUACAAUAACAACAAAAGCGUAAUUCCAGAGCAUGGAAAUGGAUACCCAGGAGGUUAUUAUUUACUUUCCCCAAAUUCACAUAAUGGGCAUCCUUUCAGAAUUGAAACCAUUUCGUUUGGGAUAUGUGUUGCCUGGCACCCCCAAGAUGUAAAUGCAUAGUUUUUUAAAAAAGAUUUAUUUAUUUAUGAGAAACAGAGAGAGAGAGAGAGAGAGAGAGAGAGAGGCAGAGACACAGGCAGAGGGAGAAGCAGGCUCUAUGCAGGGAGCCCGAUGCGGGACUCCAUCCUGGAACUCCAGGAUCGCACCCUGGGCCAAAGGCAGGCGCCAAACUGCUGAGUCACCCGAGCUGCCCAUAAAUACAUAAUUAAUUGUUUCUAGUGAACAAAUUUUGAUUUGCACAUUAUCUGCAGAAACAUUUCCACUGGAUAAAGAGAAAUAAAUACACAUAUUGUAACAUAUCCCGCUGGGACUUCCAAGUAGCUGAACUACAAAUGGUAUAUUACGGUUAUAAAACCGGAGGCAACGUUUGUUACAAAAUUCAUCCUCAACUGAGGCAGGUAGCCUUGUCCCUGCUUUUCAGAGUGUCACUCUGCAGAAAUUGAGCUGAGCCUGGGUUCACACCAGCAGCCCGGGAGGAAACACCUGUGAUGCCUAAAACUAACCAGGAGUUGCCUUCUAGAUGUAAGGGCCUCGCUUGCGUCAGCAGGAGACAGACAGGACACUUCACGGGAGAGAAACCUGUCAAAAACAAUGAAAAGUCAAUCUGAGAAGAGAAAGCCAAAAUGAGUGGUGAACGACGCUCAACUUCAUUAGUAAUCAAAUAAAUGGAAAUUAAGGUCCAGACCCUGACAGUUCUUCUGAGGGGAGCGCACGUAGGGGUGUCCAUGGAGCCACGACCAGCGGCAGAGCAGGGUUGGAGGCCACCUCGGUGUCCCCGUGAAGGGAGUGGAUGAAGAAGGCAGCGUCGGGGCGGGGGGGGGGGGGCAGCCCAGGUGGCU